rnacentral:tRNA from 1 species
UGGUUUGUGGCUCAGUGGUAGAGUGCUUGCCUAGCAUGUGUGAGGCCCUGAGUUCGAUCCUCAGCACCACAU